GAUGAACGCUGGCGGCGUGCCUAAUACAUGCAAGUCGAGCGAACGGACUAGAAGCUUGCUUCUCUGAUGUUAGCUGCGGACGGGUGAGUAACACGUGGAUAACCUACCUAUAAGACUGGGAUAACUUCGUGAAACCGGAGCUAAUACCGUAUAAUAUUUUGCACCGCAUGGUUCAAAAGUGAAAGACGGUCUUGCUGUCACUUAUAGAUGGAUCCGCGCUGCAUUAGCUAGUUGGUAAGGUAACGGCUUACCAAGGCAACGAUGCAUAGCCGACCUGAGAGGGUGAUCGGACACACUGGAACUGAGAAACGGUCCAGACUCCUACGGGAGGAAGCAGUAGGGAAUCUUACGCAAUGGGCGAAAGCCUGACGGAGCAAAGCCGCGUGAGUGAUGAAGGUCUUCGGAUCGUAAAACUCUGUUAUUAGGGAAGAACAUAUGUGUAAGUAACUGUGCACAUAUUGACGGUACCUAAUCAGAAAGCCACGGCUAACUACGUG
rnacentral:rRNA from 1 species